UAUGGCUCAGGACGAACGCUGGCGGCGUGCUUAACACAUGCAAGUCGAACGAUGAACCACUUCGGUGGGGAUUAGUGGCGAACGGGUGAGUAACACGUGGGCAAUCUGCCCUUCACUCUGGGACAAGCCCUGGAAACGGGGUCUAAUACCGGAUACCACUCUCGCGGGCAUCUGCGAGGGUUGAAAGCUCCGGCGGUGAAGGAUGAGCCCGCGGCCUAUCAGCUUGUUGGUGAGGUAAUGGCUCACCAAGGCGACGACGGGUAGCCGGCCUGAGAGGGCGACCGGCCACACUGGGACUGAGACACGGCCCAGACUCCUACGGGAGGCAGCAGUGGGGAAUAUUGCACAAUGGGCGAAAGCCUGAUGCAGCGACGCCGCGUGAGGGAUGACGGCCUUCGGGUUGUAAACCUCUUUCAGCAGGGAAGAAGCGAAAGUGACGGUACCUGCAGAAGAAGCGCCGGCUAACUACGUGCCAGCAGCCGCGGUAAUACGUAGGGCGCAAGCGUUGUCCGGAAUUAUUGGGCGUAAAGAGCUCGUAGGCGGCUUGUCACGUCGGGUGUGAAAGCCCGGGGCUUAACCCCGGGUCUGCAUUCGAUACGGGCUAGCUAGAGUGUGGUAGGGGAGAUCGGAAUUCCUGGUGUAGCGGUGAAAUGCGCAGAUAUCAGGAGGAACACCGGUGGCGAAGGCGGAUCUCUGGGCCAUUACUGAC
rnacentral:rRNA from 1 species